CGCCUUUCCAUCGUCUGUCGCACAGCCUAUAUACAUGGGGCCGGAUUCGUCCGGCUAUGGCGAUAAACGCGGUCGUAAUAAGCCAUUCGGACCCGGGGGCAGUACCCGGCGCUUCCACCAUCACACCUGGGCCUUGCUGUUUCCCCGUGGGGAGCCGGCCGCAAGACCUAGAAUUAUGGGGGCGAACUAGGAUCGACGAGGGUGUAAAGGGCUUUGCUUUUGCUCGGCAUGAUACCACCGUUAUCGGGUCAUUCAGAAUAGUUGCCAAUGACAACUAUGCUGAGGCUGCUCUCGCUGCGUAAUGCGGCGCGAUAAGCCUACCACUUGAAGUCCUUGCCCCUAGCCGGGUAAGGCGCGGUCCGGAGGGCACCGGGCAACAGAAGCCCUCCACU
rnacentral:tmRNA from 2 species